GCCGUGACUCUCACAGGAUAGGGGAAGGAAAAAUCUUUUAACAAGGAUGACCUUCAGACAGCUUUAGUUCUGAAUGUGCUCCAGUCAUGGCAGCCUUUCACCACACUCCUCUGGAAUUUCCAUAUUAAUCCACAUGAAAGAUUGUGGUAUAACAGCAGAAAUCCAGCAAGGCACAUUGCAAUCAUCUUACAUGGCCUUUUCCAGAUGCACAUAUGGCCCCCACUUCCUAUCUAUGCCCUGCCAUAAUCAUAAAACACUGUGGAGUGGAAGCUUAUUUUGACGAGAAAUCAUCAGUGCAAGCACCAUAGAAGAUAUUUUGGGGAAGAACCUUUCUUGAGCACUACUUCAAACAAUGAUGUGGAACAACAUAUUAGUAUUUUUCAAGUAUAA